ACGUUGAAACAUCGGUUCACGUACGAACACCGAAUUUAAGCAAAGUUGAGCCUGGUCAGUACAUAGAUGGGUGACCGCUUGGGAAUACCAUGAUCUGU